UAGGAGGUCUGUACAGAACCGUCGACUGCGCCGCCUGCUGUUAGCCGCUAGAACUGCAGCCACAGCCGGUGUUUACUGUUGUGUUAAACCGGAUGAUGGAGAAAACACGACAACGGGCAUCGAUCACACGACCGUCCACGAAGACCUAGUGUGUGACAUGGAACCGGCUCUGGUCCGACCCAAAGAGGUUGUUCGGGACCAGAUGAUGGAUCUGUUGGUAUCCAAGACUCAGCUGGAGAACAGAGUGAAGGAGCUGGAGGAAAUGCUCUGUGAGGCACGCAGAGACUGUGACCUGAAACAUAAGGUGUAUGUUUAAGGAGGCUUACAGCAUCCUCCAGUCUGAAAAUAAUGAGAUGAAGAAGACCAUUCAGCUGAAGGAAGAGAACGAGGAGAUGAAGAAGACUCUGAGCCACAAGGAGGAGUUCCUGAAGAAGCGAGCGCGACAGGUUCAAGUCAUCCUCCAACCAGAAAACUGAGAUACAGGAGACCAUUGCUCAGCUGGAGGAGGAGAAGUCUGUCAUGAUAAUCCAGAUAGAGAAUCAGAGAAACAUAGUGAUGGACCUGGGAAACCUGGUCCUAGACUUGAACCUGGAGAUUGCUGAUCUAAUGAAUGAGCAUGAACGAGAGAGGGAGGCUCAUAAUGUUCUCCAGAAUGAGUAUGAUGAGAUGAAGAAGAUCCUGAAACAAAAGGAGGACCUACUGAAUGAGUGUGAGUGAGAGCGGGCGGGUCACAGCAUCCUCCAGGCUGAGAACAGCCAGAUGAAGAAGACUAUGAUUGACAAGGAGGAGUUACUGAAU